GAGGGGAGACCAGGCCUCAAAGCCUCCAUCCCAGUGAUGCCCUCCAUCCAGCAAGGCUGCCCCUCCUAAACCUCCCCACACAGACCUCAGAUGUGGUGCUACAGAAAGUCCUGAGUUUUCCAAGCAUCUUGAACUUGAGACUGAGCUCAGCUGCCCCAAAGCAGGAACUCCAGUGUCCAGCCCCAGACCCAUGGAUGCCAUCUUCGCAGGGAUCUUGGGACUCUGAACGCCAGCUUUGGGGAAAGUGUCGAGGCACUGGCUGACUUCUGCCACCUGUGAGGGAGGAAACAUUCUCAUUUCCACGAGGAUGAAGAAACCUAGUCCCAGGAGAAUCAAGCUCCUGCUGUGUGCUUUGCCAGGCAACCAAGUCUCCAGGGAACGGCAGGCAGCAGGGUGAGGUGUCAUGGAGUCAUUGCUAGGUCCUGCUACCGAGUGCAAGAACAGCUGAAGAGGGCCCGGGAUGAGAUCCCCGUGGCCAGGUUCUCUGCCUGUGCAGAACAGCAAGCACAUACUGCGAAAAGAAGAAACAGAAGA